CACCAGAUACCUCCCCAGGCCGCAGUGUGCGUGUCCAGCUGGACCCGGGUGGGUGCCGUCUCUGCCCUGUGUACAUAAAUCUCCACGAACCGUGCUGUGUUCGUCCUGGAGUUUGUCUGCCGGAGCGACUUGCAAGUGUCCUUGUAAUGUGAACCCCAGUUCAAGUCCUGGUCAGCAAAACCUCUGAAUCUGUGCACAGCUGGAUGUAGCAGCUGGCAGCCAGAGAGAGAGGGCAGGACUCUGAUGAGGGGCUGGAGCCUUGCCCAUCAUGGAGAAGCCGACCUCAGGGACCCCAGAUUUCUGAAGGGAGGCCGAGGGCUCUGUCACUCUUGUGGGCGUGACACGGCAAAAGUCCCAGAGCAUGAUUGUCCCUGGAACCUGGUGGACUGAGGACUGAUAGAGCAGACGUGACCACCAACCAGGCCACACUUGGGCCUGCGUUGCAUCUUGAUCAUAAUUUGCAAGGGGCUGCCAAGGAAGAGAUGCUGAAGCACCUGCAGGAACUAGGUUAUUUGCAUAGUGGUCUCAAGACCAGGUCCUGCUGUCACCACCGCGGGGAGGAAGUGAGAUCUUCCUGCCUUUGGAGGCCACCCCUGGAUGGAGCUGGGAGAGCUGUCAGGGUGUUGGAGACCUUGCUGGAGAGUGGAUGGAGUGGAGCAGCCACAGAGAGCUGGAUGCCAGCUGGGGACGGUCAGCCCAGGAGGAAAUUCCCCAAGUUCCUUUCUGAUGAUGUUCCUGUUGUUAUUCUAGGCUGGGUGGGGUGGAGGCAUCUCCAGAAGAAGCCACCUGCUCACAGGAUGCCUCUCCCAAACUUCUGCACAGGAAGACAUUUGGAAUUAGAAUAGAUGAAGUGAAAUAGAAGACUGAAUGUGACGAGGAGGCUGGCUGUGUCUGCAUGGGAAGAGCUGGCUGAAGGCCAGGCCUGACCAUCCUCAGCUGGCUGCAGGUGGAUGGGCUCAGGCCGUGCUCAUCAGGUAGAAGGAGUGGUUCUGUGGUCUCUGGUGAGGAGGACCUUUGGACAAAAGGGAAAUGACUGAAAUUUAGGCAGUUGAGGGAACUCAUGGGGUGAGGGCGACAGAGGAGCUAGAAGUCCUCAGAAGGCCAGAUCCACAGAUGGAGAAGGACACAGUACCCUGCACAGAAGGGGCCCUGCCAGCCGGGGAGGGCUGCUCACACCACAUCCCAGGAUCCAUCUCUAAGCAGACAUGCACCAGGAUGGCCCAGUAUUACCCAUUCUCUUUUGAAGUCAAAACCCCAAAGCACCCACUGGCUCAGCCUCUGUGACUUACCAACACUUGGUGAUGAAAUACGAACAGACUGAUGUCGGUUGAAAACACAGGCAUCCUAGCAGCCCAGGGGGCGAUGGGAGUGUGGGGUCACUCAGUGAGUGAAAACAAAGGCACGCUUACUCUUUCUGGCCAGGAAGCACAGGAAGUGUUGCUGUGCUAACUUCUGUGGGCAGAAGUCUAGGGGCACCCGUAGGUCUCUGGAAUGUCGGUCCAGCACCCUUGCAGCCGCUGCAGGAGUGCGGUCCUCAUGCCUGCCUGUCCCCGUCCUUCAGCGGGUGAAGGGUAGUGUCUGUGUCUGCUGGGCCCUCCCACUCAGAUCAUGCGACCGAAAUGGCCUUGGCUUUGAAGUCAGACCUAUUUGUCCCUGCCAGCCCGGCCUCUUCCUGCUGCAUUGCAUUGGCAAUGUCCUUGCCGCUCUGAGGAAUGGUAGUGAUAGUUCCCAUGCGUGGCCUUGGGAGAGGUCUGAGCUGGACGGUUAGACCUGCAGGCUCCCACAGGCCACCGUGGCUGCUGGUGGGAGACAUAGCAUCUGCUAUUCUCUCCUUGGGAGUUGUCCUCAGAGGAGUCCAUACGGCCGGCCCGGGGCCAGGACCCGUUCUCUUUGGCCCUCCGGGAGGCGGCGCAGAAGGAAGCAUGAGGCUCACACUGGCAGGAUAUUUUCCUGAACAAUCUGAAGUCACAAACACCACCUUGAAAUCUCCAGGAAGUCAAUGUUGCAAACUCACUUAAUUUUAUUAUUAAGUCUUGCCCCAUGAAAUAUUUCUGAGAUGGAGCCAACAGCCAAGGGACGGACUGAGAAGAGUUUCAGCUAUGUCAUCAGAGCCCCCAGCAGUGAGGGGUUCGACAUAAUGAACGUUGAUCUGAAGAUUGACACAUCCUGGAUAUUCCAGGACAUGGAAGAUAGUGCUGAGGAACGGGAAUGUCUUCAGGAAGAAGCAGCUGGUCACCCAGACAUGGAUAUGGGUGCGCUCAGGAGGCAGCUGGAGUCCUCCGAGCAGAAGCUGUCAGCAGCGGAGGACAAGUACGUGACAUCGGAGUCCGGGCUGAGAAGCAGAAUUCAGGAGCUGGAGCUGUCAGAGAGGAAACUCCUCCGGAAGGUGGACCAGCUGAGCACCCACGUGGCCCAGGAGAGAAGCGCCUGGCUCCAGGCCCAGGAGAAGCUGGCGGCGCUGCAGGGGGAGCUGGCCAGCCAGGACCCUCUGGGCUGUGUUCAGGAUGACUCACUGCCCCUGCCCAGGGAGGAGGCCCUGGAUCCCUGCAGAAGCCAAGACUGGCAGAGCUCCCAGCGGUCCGAUGAUGCCCCCGGACAAAGGGCCCCAGCAGGCCCGUCCCUGGAGGGUCCCUGCACCUGGAGCUGCAUCAGGCCUGGACAGGCCUCUUCUGUUUUGGCUCCAGGCCCAGAGACCACAAGCGAGCUCCCCAGAGACCUGGCGGGAUCCAACCGUGAACAGCUUCCUCUGGUAGAGCCCAGCUUGGAUGAACAGAUUCUUCUCCUGGUGUGUGGCUGCCCACCAGGGGAGUGCUUGGACGAGUCACUCCUCCCCAUGGACCUGGCCUGGAUUUCAGAGAAUCUAGCAGCUGACCCGGCUGCAGAGGCCUUUCUCCUGGUGCAGACGUCUGCACUCCCUCUCUGGGGGCCGGCUGGGGACUCCACUUCUUGGCGACCACUGCUGCUCCAGGAGUUUCCCUCAGAUGGACAACAAACCCAAGAAGAGUUGGCCACCAGGUGCCCGCCUCCUCCUAAAGCCACAGGACACCCCGGCUGGGAUUGUCACCAAGCAAGAGGCUGCGGUGCCUCCCUCUUCCACGAGGCCCCCUACAUUUCAAAUCACCGAUUUCCAAAAAAACACCCCAAGGAUCUGAAAGACACUUGGAACAAUGGAGGAAGAAGCCUGGUGGGGAGAACUGAAGAGGGGGAGGCAAGGGUGACUUUGGGCAGGAAGGGGAAAAACCUUGGUGACAAGCACCAGCUGAGUCAGGAAAGCCAUCAGAACUUGGAGAAUGGAGCUGGAGCCGCUGAUGGCAUGCAGGACCAGAAUGGGGCUUCAGAGACCAAGGCCACCGCCUGCCGCCCUGGGACCCGGCAGGAGUUUUUGAUGCCUCUUCUACAGGGGGAGGCCUCAGUAUCAGAGGAGGAUCCCGAAUCCCUGAACAGGAGGGAAAGGGUGGAAGGAUAUGUCUGGGGUCUCCGAGGAGGACUGUCAUCAGAGAAGGAGGAAGUGGCACCCCCAGCCACCUACUGCAGGGCUCAAGAGACCAUAGAGCCGUGGCCAACAGACAGUCAGCUUGUCACAGGGAGACGCAGAGCCAUUGGGAGGACAGCUAGGGGCAAGGAGGAAAACCAGGUGUGGCUUGGAAAUGCUCUGCUUCUGCAAGGAGGAAGCCCGGAGGAUGAAGGGCUAGAGGAGGAGGACGAGGUGCCACAUCAAGAAGCAUCCAGUCCGAGGUGCAGGGGUGCGCCCGAGGAGCCUGACUCCCAGAAACAUGAGAGCAAGGAAAUGCUUUUCUUCGCGGGAGAGACAGGUUUGCCACUGUUUCCCAGAUUUGUCUUAUCAGCUGACAGGGGCGAACCCACUGGUCAUGGUCAUCCACAGGCUGUAAGCAAAGGACACGACAGGUGUGCACUCACAAUCAAUGAGCUUGCACAGGAGGUGGAGGCUUGUUUCCAGCAGCUGUCCACCCUGCAGCCGGGCAGCGGGGGCUGGCAGCGCUCAGCCUCUGAGUGCGGGGGAGAGAACUGGAGCUUUGCUCGGAAGUGGUACAGUGGUGGGGAGAGAGCUCACUCUCAGCAGGUUUGGGGAAAUCAGGGUAUUUGUUCUGACGAAGAAGUAAAGUCUAAAGAGAGUGGUGAAGGUGAUAAGCCAGGAAAGACCAUGGCCCUGGGCACCAGCAAAGUUCCUGGUAACCCAGGGACACUGCCUGAUCGGGAUGAAGGCAGCCCAAACCCUCCACCGGGGCCCGCUGAGCCCUGGGGUGCCCUCAAGAGAGUGAGGAGCAGGUUUCGUCAGCUCAUUUCUGGAUUGAAGAAACAGAGAAGCCAGAUUUUACACGACAACAUCAAACUUCACAGAGACCAAGAGAGGUUCCAUGAAAGAGUGUGCACCCUUGAAAGAGAGAGAGAGAGAGAGGUGACAAAAAUAUCCAGGCUCGAGCGGGAUAACUGCAGGCUGGUAGAGGACAUCUCUCAGUUAAAGAAAGAACUGGACCAAUAUUUACAGGCCAUCUCUGACCUUGAAGACUGCAGUGGGAAGAGUUACAGCAAAAUUUUGGAGCUUGAAGAGGAAAAUGAAAAACUGAAAGGGAAUCUGGGCCAACUCCAGAAAGCCACAUCUGAGAGUAUCAGGAAAUCCAAAGACACGAUGGAACAAGUCACCCUGGAAAACUGGAAGCUCCAGAGGCUGAUCUCGGAGCUUGGCGUCAGUUAUAAAGAGCUGAUAAAGGAUAUCGUGCUAGGAAUAGAAGACAUGAUCCGGGCCUUAAGCAGGGAGAACGAGCACCUUCUACGCAGGGUCCAUGUCUUGGAGAGGGAAGUCACCUUGCAGAGGAGCAUGGAUCAGGGGCGUUUGGUGAAGGGAAGGGAGCACCUCCAGGGAAAAGCCAAGAUGCACGCUGUAGACAAAGAGGUGCAGGUGACUCCACUCACAGGACAGCUGCUUUCAAGAGCCUGUGGGCCACCCUUGGAGAAGGAAAUGAGUCUGGCUGCAGGGCAGACAGGACCUUCCACAGGCACCGGGAAUUCCAGACGCGGUGCUGAUUCUCCCCCUCCAUCGCUGGUCUGGAGAAACACUGGUGUAGCCAAUGCCCUGCAAGGAAAUGUCAGUGGAGCAGGAGUGAAAGAAGCACAUUUGGAGAAAGAGAAGAGGCCCAGGUGUUCUGUGGCUCAGGGGCAAGCUCUGAGGUCCCCGAGCAAUGGCCCCACGCUCCGGGACUCAGAGGCCGAGGUUACUGAGGAGGAUCCCAGGCUGCGUGCCCAGCAGCUCCAUCACCGGGUGCUGACCCUGCAGUGCCAGCUCAGGGACCAGGGUGCUGCCCACCAGGCGUCUCUGGAUGAGGCCACCCGCCUCCAGGAGGAGCUCCAGGCCAAGCUUGAAGAACUUCAGAAAAAGCAACAUGAAGCAAAGUUGGCAGUGACUCCCCUGAAGGCCAAGAUAGCUUCCCUGGUCCAGAAGUGCCGGGAGAGGAACCGCCUGAUCACCCAUCUGCUGCAGGAGCUGCACAGACAUGGGCUGGGGAACCUCCUGCUCUCCGAGCUGGCGCAGAACAUGCUCAACGACAUGGCACUGGCUGAGUACGAGGCCGCCUUCCUGGCUCCGGGAGUCCCAGAGACAAGCCACCACCUGGACGUCAAGUCUGAGAUGACGGCAGCUUUAAGAGCUCAGACAUACCUCUUGAAUCCUGAAAUGGACAGUGUCCUCCAAAGCUCAUUGUCUUCAGAGUCCUGGCCUGUUCCCGAGCCGGAGUGGCCAGCACAGACAGCCCAACUGGAUUCUCCGAAGCUCCCUCUGUCCUUCGUGUCCACGCUUGAUCCUGGAACGUGCCUGGCAGCGGUCACUGCGGAACCAGGUCUCCCCGCACAACGUCUGCAAGAAAAAGGCGGAAUGCCCUGUCCUGCCCUCCAAGUCGAUAAUGUCCCAGCACCCUCCGAGCUCCUGAGCCCAGCGAGGAUCCUGGCUUUUCACCAAGAGCUUAGACAAAGCAUUUGCAGCAAUUCCCAGGUCCAUAAAUCACCGCUGGAGUUAGAGAUGUAAUAGGGCCACUCAUUCUCCUGAGCCAUUUCAUAGACUCCAUAAAUAUUUGAAGCAGAACCUUCAGAGUGUGCUUUAAGAAAUUGGUAGCAAUCAGAGCCCUCAUUUAGUGGCAAGCGGUUUUGCCUUCGGCUUUGGGAUUUUGUGUUCAUUGUCAGAGCUUGAGAGAAAUGCUGGCCUGUGCCUGGCAAAUUCUGAGGAGUUUGGCUUUGGCAAUGUCAAGGUAGCAUAGGAAAUAUUUACUGUACCAAAACCUAUUGAAUGAUUGGUCCAGAGGUUCUCAACUGGGCGCAGUUUUAGCCCCCCAGGGAAAAUCUGGCCAUGUCUGGAGAUAUUUUUGGUUGUCACAGCUGGGACACUGCUACUGGCAUCUGGUGGGUAGAGGCCAGGGAUGCUAUGAAACGUCCUACAAUACCCAGGCCAGCCUCCUACAGCAAAGAAUUACAGCCCGAGGGUCGCCAAUGCUGAGGUCGAGAGCCCGGGAUGGAUCUCAUAGCUCCCAACAAGAUCAGCCAUGGAGAAUUGUUUUGUUAUUUUUCUGCCCCCAGGGUCCUUCCCACGUUUUAAAAGAUUUUUUGUCUAGUAAGUGAAACGCCUAAUUUAAGUCAUUAUAUAUUUUACACUUAAAAACAUUAAAACUAACCAGAACUUUCUAAUCAGUCCAUUCACUCCAAAAACGUCUGUUGAUAUCCACUGGAUGCCAGGCAACGUGAUAUGAAGGAGAAGAGAUGAGUCAGUGUUGAUCCCGGUGCCGGGGACCUCACAGGACAAUGGGAGAGAUACUCCUGUGAGUAAAUCAGCAUGCACGCAAGUGUCACAUGUACCCUGAGCAACGGGAUGAAGGCAAGGGUCAGUUCUACUUGGCUUGGGAGAACUGGAAGUCAGCAACAAAGGAAUGGCUGGGCAGCGUCCCGUGGGUAAGGUGGGAAGGGUGCUGCUGUAUGAGGGAACGCAUGUGCAAAGGCCCUGAGGCAUAAAACUAAACUGUGGAUGUGCCCCUGGAGGUGAAGUGGGCAAAGUAUGCUCUUGUCAAGCCAGCUGCAAGCAGUCACUGCAUCGUUCCCAUCCAGCACCCCUUCCUUCCACCGAGAACAGACUCGUGCCCCGAAUCAGGUGGGCGACCCAGGAGAAGAGCACUUCCAUCCUGAGGGCAGCCCCCCAAAAAGAGAGUCCAGGGGGCUUGGACGACACACACCAGACCCUGACCCAGGCUCACCCACCAGAGAUGUCACCUCGCUCUUUGGGAAGGGGCUGAGGAGGGGCUUAAGGGAAAGGCCAAAGCCGCUACCUGUCCAGUUCUGUCCCCUCCUGGAAGUGGCUGUCCCUUCCUGGAAGGACAAACAAGGACAAGGACAAGGAACUGAGGGCUCCCCAGGAAGUGUCAAAGUGCAUAGAUUUUAACGUAGUUUAGCUUUUUGUUUUGAAGUGAAAAUUACACAGAGUUCCCGUAGACUCUUCCCCGGGCUUCCCUUGAUGUUAACAUCUCAUGUGACUUAUGUUGUACAAUUAUAGAAACUAGUGGGUUUUAUUUGGAGGAAAAUUGGGGAGCCAUUGAGAUGUAAGAAAGGCAGCCUCAGCACAUUGAGUUCCACCCUUUAAAUUCAUUUAUGGAGUUUUCUGAUGGGUUAGCACAUUCAUCCAUGUAUUCCUGGAUUUAUUUACCCACAGAUCUAUUUAUUUAUUCAAUAUGCAUUUAGUGACUGCUGUGUGAGUGGCUGGCUGGAUGCUGCUGGGGAAGAGGUAAAGAUGAUGCUGUCCACCUAGGUUUUCAGGGACCCCCCUGGAGACCCUGUGGCCCCGUUACCACCCCUCAAGAAUCCCCAGAUUGGAAACCACUGCGGUGAUCCCUUUGUCGGUUCGACCACCCCAGGGCUUCCCUAUAAUUUCCAAGCAGGAAGUGACCUGCAACACUGGUUUGGUGAUCCACCUUCUGCCUCCCUCUGUAUUUUGGGACAACGUCAUUAGCUUUGAGCAUCAGGAACAUGACAGAGAGAGGACAGAAACCCGGUGCAGUCAAGGACAGCUAGCUGAGCCCUUGCUGAGCCAGCGAGAUGCAGCGUGCUGCCACCACAUCUGGUCUCCAGGACUCCCAGGAGCUCAGACGUCCGUCCUCUUGUGACUUCAUGCUCCCCUCUGCCGCACUCACGUGCUGGGCCUGGGCAGAAAGGCAACCCAGGAAAUCCAUUAAAGCAAGCCAAGAUGACCUUUGCAGCUUAACCCAACGAUUCCCUAAUAAAUCAUGUUUCCAGGGCAGAGCCACUUACUCUCCCGGGCCAUGAAUUCCCGUCUGGGUCUAGCACUUUGGGUCGGCUCAAGCUUUGUGCCGUGGCUCCCUGGGGCACAGUACAGGAUGGCGGACUCCCCUCGCCUGGUCUGUAGACCCCAGCCUUUGGAAGGGCACAUGGUGGCUCCUUGCCACCCAUCAGAUGCUCCGGGGGCAGGACCUGCUCUGGCAACCCAGCAGGUUCAGGCAGGAACUUGGCACACAGGAGCUGGUCUCAGGCUGCCCCACAGGCAGGGAAUGACUCUACGAGUGACCCUGAGGCCUCUGGAGACCAGCCAGAUGGUCCAGCCUGGCUCUGCGGCAGAAAACAAUUUGUCACAAUGGACUGUCAGCAAACAACAAUGGCGGACUUCCCUGGAGGCGGAGCCCUAAACCCUGCGAGGUAAACCCUGGUUCCAGGCUUCAGGAGCUCAUGGGCCAGGUCAGCCAGACACACGUGGAAGGGAGGCUUGUGCUCCAGCCUGGCUAUGAGCCUCAUGGGAAAUCACGACUUCUCCGUGCCCGUCCCUGUCAGCAC